CAAGUGAAUAAGGGCUUAAGUUGGAUACCUUGGCAUUCAGAAGCGACGAAGGGCGUGUCUACCAGCGAAAUGCUUCGGGGAGUUGGACGUAAACUUUGAUCCGGAGGUACCCGAAUGAGGAAACUCUUUGUACUACAUGCCUAAUAUAUAGGUAUUUUAGGGCGAACUUGGCGAACUGAAACAUCUUAGUAGCCAAAGGAACAGAAAGCAAUAGCGAUUCCCAUAGUAGCGGCGAGCGAACGGGGAAUAGCCUAAACUACAGUUACAUGUAGGGUUGUGGGACAGCUGUCAGGGUUAGACGUGUUAGGUGAAGUUCAUGGAAUUGAACACUAUAGAAGGUGAUAGUCCUGUAACCGAAAACAUUACUUACUUAGUUGUAUCCCGAGUAACAUGGGUCACGUGAAACCCCGUGUGAAUCUGCGAGGACCACCUCGUAAGGCUAAAUAUUCCUGAAUGACCGAUAGUGCACUAGUACCGUGAGGGAAUGGUGAAAAGAACCCCGGGAGGGGAGUGAAAUAGAACAUGAAAGCUUAAGCUUACAAGCAGUGGGAGGACGACUAAACGUUUGACCUCGUACCUGUUGAAGAAUGAGCCGGCGACUUGCAGGCAGUGGCAGGUUAAGAUGUGAGUAUCGGAGCCAGAGUGAAAGCGAGCUUUAAGAGAGCGUUAGUCUCUGUUUGCAGACCCGAACCCGGAUGAUCUAACCAUGGCCAGUGUGAAGCGCAGGUAACACUGCGUGGAGGCACGAACCGACUGAUGCUGAAAAAUCAGCGGAUGAGCUGUGGUUAGUGGUGAAAUGCCAAUCGAAUCCGGAGCUAGCUGGUUCUCCUCGAAAUGUGUUUAGGCGCAGCGGUUAGCGUUAUAACUUAGGGGUAAAGCUCUGUUUUGGUGCGGGCUACUAACGUGGUACCAAAUCAAUGCAAACUCUGAAUACUAAGUGCAUAGCUAACCAGUAAGACUGUGGGGGAUAAGCUCCAUUGUCGAAAGGGAAACAGCCCAGACCACCAGCUAAGGCCCCCAAAUGGCUACUAAGUGAUAAAGGAUGUAGGAAUGCUGAGACAGUCAGGAGGUUCGCUUAGAAGCAGCUACCCUUUAAAGAGUGCGUAAUAGCUCACUGAUCAAGUGCACCUGCGCCGAAAAUGAACGGGGCUAAGUAGCCUGCCGAAGCUGUGGGAUUCAGUUGAAUCGGUAGAGGAGCGUUCCACUCUAGGUAGAAGCAUCAGCGUAAGUGGGUGUGGACGAUGUGGAAGUGAGAAUGUCGGCUUGAGUAGCGAAAACAUUGGUGAGAAUCCAAUGCCCCGAAAACCUAAGGUUUCCUCCGGAAGGCUCGUCCGCGGAGGGUUAGUCAGGACCUAAGAUGAGACCGAAAGGUGUAGUCGAUGGAUAACAGGUUAAUAUUCCAGUACCAUUUUUCGUUGGCAAUGAGGGACGAAGAAGGCUAUGUCAUCCGGGUGUUGGUUACCGGUUUAAGCGCGUAAGGUAUUAUGAAGUGGAGACAACAUUUCUUACCAAAGCGUGAAUACGUAGUGCUACGGCAUAUAAGUGACAAACGCCAUGCUUCCAAGAAAAGCUCAUAUUGCCAUAAGCGAUCGAUGCCUGUACCUUAAACCGACACAGGUAGGUAGGUAGAUUAUACCAAGGGGCGCGAGAUAACUCUCCCUAAGGAACUCGGCAAAAUAACUCCGUAACUUCGGAAGAAGGGGUGCCCUUUAUGAGGGUUGCAAUAGCCAGACCCUGGCGACUGUUUAUCAAAAACACAAGUCUCCGCUAAUUCGUAAGAUCAUGUAUGGAGGCUGACGCCUGCCCAGUGCCGGAAGGUUAAAGAAGUUGGUCAGUCUUCGGAUGCAGCUAGUAACUGAAGCCCCGGUGAACGGCGGCCGUAACUAUAACGGUCCUAAGGUAGCGAAAUUCCUUGUCGGGUAAGUUCCGACCCGCACGAAAGGCGUAACGAUCAGGGUGCUGUCUCGGGGAGAGGCUCGGCGAAAUAGACAUGUCUGUGAAGAUGCGGACUACCUGCACCUGGACAGAAAGACCCUAUGAAGCUUUACUGUAUCCUGAGAUUGGGUUUGGGUUUUACUUGCGCAGGAUAGGUGGGAGGCUUUGAAGGUAUGCUUGUGGGUGUACUCGAGCCAACGGUGAGAUACCACUCUAGUAAGAUUAAAAUUCUAACUUCGUACCAUUAUCUGGGCGAAGGACAGUUUCAGGUGGGCAGUUUGACUGGGGCGGUCGCCUCCCAAAUGGUAACGGAGGCGUGCAAAGGUUCCCUCAGGUUGGUUGGACAUCAACCGAAGAGUGUAAAGGCGUAAGGGAGCUUGACUGCGAGACAUACACGUCGAGCAGAGACGAAAGUCGGCCUUAGUGAUCCGACGGUUUCCGAGUGGAAGGGCCGUCGCUCAACGGAUAAAAGUUACUCUAGGGAUAACAGGCUGAUCUCCCCCAAGAGUUCACAUCGACGGGGAGGUUUGGCACCUCGAUGUCGGCUCAUCGCAUCCUGGGGCGGUAGUACGUCCCAAGGGUUGGGCUGUUCGCCCAUGAAAGCGGUACGCGAGCUGGGUUCAGAACGUCGUGAGACAGUUCGGUCCAUAUCCGGUGCAGGCGUUAGAGCAUUGAGAGGAUUCCCCCCUAGUACGAGAGGACCGGGGGGAAUACACCGCUGGUGUACCAGUUAUUGUGCCAACAGUAAACGCUGGGUAGCUAUGUGUAGUGUGGAUAACUGCUGAAAGCAUCUAAGUAGGAAACCCACCUUAAGAUGAGUGCUCUCACCGCUAUAAGCGGAUAAGAUCACGGUAAGAACAACCGUUAGAUAGGCAUUAGGUGUACGCACAGAAAUGUGUUCAGCCAAGAUGUACUAAUAGAUCGA
rnacentral:rRNA from 1 species